rnacentral:lncRNA from 1 species
CAGCAUAAUGUCCAUAUCGUCUUAUAGCGCCUUUAUGGAAGUUGAUAUUACAAAGCAUAUAUUGUACAAUCUAAGUUCCCCGAUUGCACAAAUUUACUAGAUGGAUGGCUCUGGUAUUAUGUGGCAUAAAUAGAAGCCAUGUUAAAUGUUAAGUAAACUUUACAAUGGGAGCACUUUCUGUGUAGGCAAAAUGACCGAAUCUGAAACUUCCAUAUACAUGAAUAUUUCCCGCACUAUCUUCUACUGUUAGGAACAAUGCCUCAAGUAAUUGUUGAACCAUCAUGUGCUAAUCUGCAGUCCCAAAUUUGAAGCAUAAUUUCCUUUAGUAUCUGCGAAUUGUCCUCACACCAACUCAAGACAAUUAGACCAAAGGCCAAUUAGACCAAAGGAAAAACAAUUUCCUGACAUACUCAGUGAAAAUACACCGUGCGAUAGCGUUUCGAGAAAUACUGUGCUAAUUUGCAUUCCCAAAUAGCAUACUUUAAGAGCCACGCUAUUUUGUCAUAGCAUGUUGUUUUUUUUUCAUUGGACAUACUGCACUCAUACUUUCUUGCAUAAUCAAUUUGAUUGAUAUAUCUUCUAUUGCAAACAAAUAUAUAAGCCAAAGAUGCAAAUUUAAUUAAGGUCCAUGAUUCAUGUAUUCUAUAUUUAAGAAAAUUCCAAAUAGACGGGCACGGCAACGCGUGCCAUCAAUGAUCUAGUUUCUCUGAUAAGCUGAAUAAAAUGUGGUGUUUUCUUUACCUCAGAUAUUUCCUUCAGGUUUUUAUGCUAGUCCUGGCUCAGCGCAGCCCACUAAACAAGAGAACUCAGAUAAAGGGCUUAAUGGGCCGAUAGGCCUAGCAGCAAAGACAACAAAUUCAGUUAAGUAAUUUUAGUUCCAUAGCAUAGAACCUAGCUCCAAGACAAUCCAUGGCAUAUAAAGGGGGAUUUUAUCAGUCAUGUCAUGCUCUAGUAAUUUAUACAGCAGCACAAGACCAUUUCAAGAAACCAUUAAAUGUAAUGAAGAACAAGUGUUUGAUGCAAAGGUUGUUGAUAUGAUCUAGCCGAACAGCGGACAAGAUUACAAACUAUAACUUCCACAAAAAGCAUACAGUUGAGGUCAACCCUUAAAAUUUAAAAUGAACCGACA